GAUAGGGAAGCCCUUCGGGGCGAAGUAGCUGAUUUCACACUGUCAAGAAAAGCUUCUAUCGAGUUUAAAGGCGCCCGUACCGUAAACCGACACAGGUGGGUGAGGAGAGUAUCCUAAGGCCAGCGAGAGAACUAUUGUUAAGGAACUCGGCAAAAUGACCCCGUAACUUAGGGAGAAGGGGUGCCUGUCUAUGACAGGCCGCAGAGAAUAGGCCCAAGCGACUGUUUACCAAAAACACAGGUUUCUGCUAAGUCGCAAGACGAUGUAUAGGAGCUGACGCCUGCCCGGUGCUGGAAGGUUAAGGGGAUCUGUUAGAGCAAUCGAAGCAGUGAACUUAAGCCCCAGUAAACGGCGGCCGUAACGAUAACGGUCCUAAGGUAGCGAAGUUCCUUGUCGGGUAAGUUCCGACCCGCACGAAAGGCGUAACGAUUUGGGCACUGUCUCAACAAUAGACUCGGUGAAAUUGUAAUCCCGGUGAAGAUGCCGGGUACCUGCGACAGGACGGAAAGACCCCAUGGAGCUUUACUGAGCUUGACGUUGGGUCUUGGUACUACAUGUACAGGAUAGGUGGGAGACUAUGAAGCAUGGACGCCAGUCUGUGUGGAGUCAUCCUUGGGAUACCACCCUUGUAGUACUGGGAUCCUAACCAUAGGCCUUGAAUCAGGUCUUGGAACACCGUCAGGUGGGCAGUUUGACUGGGGCGGUCGCCUCCUAAAAAGUAACGGAGGCGCUCAAAGGUUUCCUCAGCACGGUCGGAAAUCGUGCGAAGAGUGUAGAGGCAAAAGGAAGCUUGAUUGCAAGACAUACAGGUCGAGCAAGGACGAAAGUCGGACUUAGUGAUCCGGUGGUACCGCAUGGAAGGGCCAUCGCUCAACGGAUAAAAGCUACCCUGGGGAUAACAGGCUUAUCUCCCCCAAGAGUCCACAUCGACGGGGAGGUUUGGCACCUGGAUGUCGGCUCAUCACAUCCUGGGGCUGUAGUAGGUCCCAAGGGUUGGGCUGUUCGCCCAUUAAAGUGGUACGCGUGCUGGGUUCAGAACGUCGUGAGACAGUUCGGUCCCUAUCCGUCGCAGGCGUAGGAAAUUUGAGAAGACCUGUCCUUAGUACGAGAGGACCGGGAUGGACGUACCUCUGGUGUACCAGUUGUUCUGCCAAGGGCAUGGCUAGGUAGCUAUGUACGGAAUGGAAAGCGCUGAAAGCAUCUAAGCGCGAAGCCAACUUCAAGAUAAGA
rnacentral:rRNA from 1 species